UGAUUCAGAGUAAACAAACCUUGGCGGACGGGCGUUUCAGUAAGAACAGAAAAACUAAUCAAGAGAUCAGGAUGAACGGAAUACGCGAUCUGGUGAGGUGGUGUAUAAACACAGUAUAUAUGGCAUGUUCACGUGUAGCCAAUUACGUCAGGCGAAAUGAUUUUCCUCAGUCAGGUCACGACAUGAUUGAGGGUGGAGACAACGUCACUCCGAGGGCAGACAGAGGACAGAAUCAGCGACAUCCUAGACGCACUAACCAAACAAAACGCACAAGGCGCGUGGACUAAUGCUGUCGAUAUGAAUCAUCAGUUCCAAUUAAACGAGUUCUAGGAAUUACAACGAUGCCUGCAGACACAAAGCAGUCACCGUCUGCCACCUUUCACGUUCCACGACGCACAUUCCGACCCCAAAGUCCCGGUAGAGCGGAAGGCGACCUUGAUUCGUUUUCGGAUGAUCGCAGAUUCGAAACCCGGACCAGAGAUCGAUGUAAUUGUUCUUACUCAGACGCAAAUUCUGAGAUAAAUGAUAUAAAUAUUUAAAACACACAAAAA